rnacentral:rRNA from 1 species
AGUGAACGCUGGCGGUAGGCCUAACACAUGCAAGUCGAACGGCAGCACAGUAAGAGCUUGCUCUUACGGGUGGCGAGUGGCAGACGGGUGAGGAAUACAUCGGAAUCUACUUUUUCGUGGGGGAUAACGUAGGGAAACUUACGCUAAUACCGCAUACGACCUACGGGUGAAAGCAGGGGAUCUUCGGACCUUGCGCGAUUGAUUGAGCCGAUGUCGGAUUAGCUAGUUGGCGGGGUAAAGGCCCACCAAGGCGACGAUCCGUAGCUGGUCUGAGAGGAUGAUCAGCCACACUGGAACUGAGACACGGUCCAGACUCCUACGGGAGGCAGCAGUGGGGAAUAUUGGACAAUGGGCGCAAGCCUGAUCCAGCCAUACCGCGUGGGUGAAGAAGGCCUUCGGGUUGUAAAGCCCUUUUGUUGGGAAAGAAAAGCAGCAGGUUAAUACCCCGCUGUUCUGACGGUACCCAAAGAAUAAGCACCGGCUAACUUCGUG